AACGAACGCUGGCGGCAGGCCUAACACAUGCAAGUCGAGCGAGACCUUCGGGUCUAGCGGCGGACGGGUGAGUAACGCGUGGGAAUAUGCCCUUUGGUACGGAAUAGCCUCGGGAAACUGAGAGUAAUACCGUAUGUGCCCUUCGGGGGAAAGAUUUAUCGCCGAAGGAUUAGCCCGCGUUGGAUUAGGUAGUUGGUGGGGUAAUAGCCUACCAAGCCUACGAUCCAUAGCUGGUUUGAGAGGAUGAUCAGCCACACUGGGACUGAGACACGGCCCAGACGCCUACGGGAGGCAGCAGUGGGGAAUCUUAGACAAUGGGGGCAACCCUGAUCUAGCCAUGCCGCGUGAGUGAUGAAGGCCUUAGGGUUGUAAAGCUCUUUCAGCUGGGAAGAUAAUGACGGUACCAGCAGAAGAAGCCCCGGCUAACUCCGUGCCAGCAGCCGCCGUAA
rnacentral:rRNA from 1 species